GUGCACUUAGCUUAGUGGUUAGAGCUUCACUGUGGGAUGAUGAGGUAUCAAGGUUCAUAUCCUGGAGUACACA
rnacentral:tRNA from 1 species